GUUCUUAGCUACAGCUUUGACAUAUAAGCCCUUGGAGGUACCUCUACUAAUAUACCUGUUUACCAACAGUGGCCUCCAAGGAUAAUAAUGCCUGUUUCUGUGUGAACCCUGGGAGAUGAAGCAAACCUGUAACUUUUAACCAAAGUUUUCUUCAACAAGGCAGCUGCUAUGUUUCAUCCUUUUUAGCAGGGCAAGCAUUGGGCUGCACCAUAAAAUGGAGACAGUGAAUGAAAGAAAUGGAGACAUAUGGAAAAAAAAAAUGAGGGCUGUUUGAAAAGUGCAGUAAUUUUUCAUCGCAUAUCGCACUACAGAAUUAAAUUGUGUAUCCCACGUGUGGGCCAGUUCCAGGAUUUACCGAGGCUCUCCACUGAAGAGACCACAUGUUUGCGACAGAAAGCACUUCCAUUCACACUGAAAUCAGGCAACAGGAUUGUAACCACUGCCAGCUUCACACUGACCUGAGAUUAGAGAUUUCAGCAACAUUGAGAUUGGUAACAAUCUGCUAACUAACAAAAAUGAUCCAUGGACAACUUGGAUCCUUACAACUUACAAUCCUGUUGAAAAAACCGACCAUGUCCACAGGGAUGAGAUUAACUCUUAAAAGAAUACCUAAAAACUAGCCAAAUGCAGGAAAAUGUGUGUCCAGAGACAAAUAGUUCACUCAUAAAAAGAAUAUACAUCUAUAUAUGAGAUAAUGGAAAAGCAGUAGGAAAAAAAAAUCAGACUGUAGCUUGGAUUAAAACCACUUUACCCACUGGUUGGAAAUAUAAAGUGUAAAAACAGACAGAUGGACAGAUAUGUAAAUGUGGCUGUGUUUUAGGCUUCAUCUGGCAAAGUUAGUAUAGUAAUAUAGUUUUGCACGCCUGUAUUUUCCAUAUCAUGUUGAAUUCUGUUAACAGUUGAAUAGAAACAUCCUCGUACUGGUCAAGGACCAAGCCAGGCCUCUGAACUUGCCACUUAGAAGCUACAAGAGAACUUAAAACCUAGCUGCCAAGACUUUCUAAACCCCACAGAGAAUUGCAUUUUGUCUGCAGCCUGUUUUUCAUUUACUUUGGUUAUUCUGUUUUGAAAUUUUAAAACUGUCUAAUGUUUCAAUUGCAAAUUUCAAAAGAUUCAAAAAAACCAAUAGUCCCUAUUUGCCUAAGCUCCCCAUAGCAUCCUCUGGAAUAUACAGAUGCAAGGCAGUAGAAACUUCCAUUCUUUUGCCAUGAUAAUUCUCACCAAAUUGCUUUAUCCCUGGCAAAGGGGAGUGAAAGAAUAUACUUGUUACCCACUUACCUGGAAUGAAUUUGAUGAGCAUGUAUAAAAAGUACAUAGCAUAUUUUAAAGUUAUUCACAGUACAUCAUAAUAAAGUUCUUCUGGGAACUCUAAUGAUUCAUUUUUAAUGAUCUCUCAAAUGUCCUUAUCCACGGUUAACACUCAGAUUUUAUUAGGGAGGAAAGCAGGCACAAAUGUCCACUUCAGUCCCAGCUCUCAAAUCCAACUCAACUUGUACUAUACUACCUUAAAGCUAAUGCUCUUUUAAUGUUCUGUUCUCCUCCCCAGUGUGGUAUUUCAGCUAACACAGAGUUCACAAUCUUUCAGCCCCAACCACAGAAGGCUGCUAUCCUCAAAUCAUCCUGGAAAUGGGCCAGAUACUAUCAUCACUCUUCCCUUACUCUUCCAAUAUACAAAAAAAUGAGAGAGAGACAGAGACAGAGACAGAGAGAGAAAUUCACCAAUAGAAGACUAUACUGAUCAAGUUAUUAAGAUAUCUAGAAAGCCUCUAUCAGAAUAGUAAAUUGUUAACCUCUGAACCAGUAAACCAUGUGUGAUUAGGAAGUUUGUAGUUGGGGGAAGGGUGAUCAUUGAAUAAUAUAUCUUAUAGGUAAUUAGUCAUUUACAUAUUGUCUUCCCCAUUGCAAGGUGAGCUCCUUGAGGGCAGGAAAUAUUUUGCCUUUCUUCAUCUCCCCAGCACUCGGUAUAGUGCAUGGCCCAUAAUAAGUGCUUAAUUAAUACCUGCUGAUUACUGACUGACUUAAAGAAGGUAGGGAUAGAGAUGAAAGUGUCACUUUAACUUCAUAGUGUAACAGUUGGGUCAUGAUUUUUAGGAGUGAUACAUAAAUGUGUUAUGAUGAUUUUUUUCCCUCUGUUUUCCACACAUUCACAAGAAAAAAUAAUGUGGUUUAGGACAGCCUUCUUCCUGGUUUCACUUAGAUAUGUUUCAGCACAAAUUGUGAAAAUUAUGCAAAUAACAAUUUUUGGCACCUA